rnacentral:rRNA from 1 species
AGGGAUUGCCUCAGUAACGGCGAGUGAAGCGGCAACAGCUCAAAUUUGAAAUCUGGCCUUCGGGUCCGAAUUGUAAUUUGUAGAGGAAGCUUUUGGUGAGGUACCUUCCGAGUUCCUUGGAACAGGACGCCUUAGAGGGUGAGAGCCCCGUACGGUUGGAUGCCAAACCUUUGUAUAGCUCCUUCGACGAGUCGAGUAGUUUGGGAAUGCUGCUCUAAAUAGGAGGUAAAUUUCUUCUAAAGCUAAAUACCGGCCAGAGACCGAUAGCGCACAAGUAGAGUGAUCGAAGGAUGAAAAGCACUUUGAAAAGAGGGUUAAAUAGUACGUGAAAUUGUUGAAAGGGAAGGGUUUAUGACCAGACCUUUGCCUUGCGGAUCAUCCGGUGUUCUCACCGGUGCACUUCGCUUGGUUUAGGCCAGCAUCGAUUCUGGUAGGGGGAUAAAGGCUUUGGGAAUGUGACUCUUCGGAGUGUUAUAGCCCUUUGCGUAAUACCUUUACUGGGAUCGAGGACCGCGCUUUUGCAAGGAUGCUGGCAUAAUGGUCAUCAACCACCC